UCCGCCGGACUCGGAAUGGGGCGAGACUUUGCGAGGGGCCUCGGGGUGCCAAAAAUAAGCCGCGGGCAAAGCCGCGCCCAAAAAUAAGCGCCCGAAGGUCGUGGUGCCAAAACCCCCCAGCGGAAAAAUGGCCAAAAAACGGGUCGUGGGCUAUAGCCUUGGUGGGGGGCGCGGGCGAAGUUCGUCCGCCGGACUCGGAAUGGGGCGAGACUUUGCGAGGGGCCUCGGGGUGCCAAAAAUAAGCCGCGCCCGAAAAUAAGCGCCCGAAGGUCGUGGGGCCAAAAGCCCCCAGCGGAAAAAUGGCCAAAAAACGGGUCGUGGGCUAUAGCCUUGGUGGGGGGCGCGGGCGAAUUUCGUCUGCCGGACUCGGAAUGGGGCGAGACGUUGCGAGGGGCCUCGGGGUGCUAAAAAUAAGCCGCGGGCAAAGCCGCGCCCAAAAAUAAGCGCCCGAAGGUCGUGGUGCCAAAACCCCCCAACGGAAAAAUGGCCAAAAAACGGGUCGUGGGCUAUAGCCUUGGUGGGGGGCGCGGGCGAAGUUCGUCCGCCGGACUCGGAAUGGGGCGAGACUUUGCGAGGGGCCUCGGGGUGCCAAAAAUAAGCCGCGCCCGAAAAUAAGCGCCCGAAGGUCGUGGGGCCAAAACCCCCCAGCGGAAAAAUGACCAAAAAACGGGUCGUGGGCUAUAGCCUUGGUGGGGGGCGCGGGCGAAUUUCGUCCGCCGGACUCGGAAUGGGGUGAGGCUUUCCGAGGGGCCUCGGGGUGCCAAAAAUAAGCCGCGGGCAAAGCCGCGCCCAAAAAUAAGCGCCCGAAGGUCGUGGUGCCAAAACCCCCCAGCGGAAAAAUGGCCAAAAAACGGGUCGUGGGCUAUAGCCUUGGAGGGGGCGCGGGCGAAGUUCGUCCGCCGGGCUCGGAAUGGGGCGAGGCUUUGCGAGGGGCCUUGGGGUGCCAAAAAUAAGCCGCGGGGAAAGCCGCGCCCAAAAAUAAGCGCCCGAAGGUCGUGGUGCCCAAACCCCCCAGCGGAAAAAUGGCCAAAAAACGGGUCGUGGGCUAUAGCCUUGGUGGGGGGCGCGGGCGAAGUUCGUCCGCCGGACUCGGAAUGGGGCGAGACUUUGCGAGGGGCCUCGGGGUGCCAAAAAUAAGCCGCGCCCAAAAAUAAGCGCCCGAAGGUCGUGGUGCCAAAACACCCCAGCAGAAAAAUGGCCAAAAAAUGGGUGGGCUAUAGCCUUGGUGGGGGGCGCGGGCGAAGUUCGUCCGCCGGACUCGGAAUGGGGCAAGACUUUGCGAGGGGCCUCGGGGUGCCAAAAAUAAGCCGCGGGGAAAACCGCGCCCAAAAAUAAGCGCCCGAAGGUCGUGGUGACAAAACCCCCCAGCGGAAAAAUGGCCAAAAAACAGGUCGUGGGCUAUAGCCUUGGUGGGGGGCGCGGGCGAAGUUCGUCCGCCGGACUCGGAAUGGGGCGAGACUUUGCGAGGGGCCUCGCGGUGCCAAAAAUAAGCCGCAGGCAAAACCGCGCCCAAAAAUAAGCGCCCGAAGGUCGUGGUGCCAAAAGCCCCCAGUGGAAAAAUGGCCAAAAAACGGGUCGUGGGCUAUAGCCUUGGUGGGGGGCGCGGGCGAAGUUCGUCCGCCGGACUCGGAAUGGGGCGAGACUUUGCGAGGGGCCUCGGGGUGCCAAAAAUAAGCCGCGGGCAAAGCCGCGCCCAAAAAUAAGCGCCCGAAGUUCGUGGUGCCAAAACCCGCCAGCGGAAAAAUGGCCAAAAAACGGGUGGGCUAUUGCCUUGGUGGGGGGCGCGGGCGAAGUUCGUCCGCCGGACUCGGAAUGGGACGAGACUUUGGGAGGGGCCUCGGGGUGCCAAAAAUAAGCCACGGACAAAGCCGCGCCCAAAAAUAAGCGCCCGAAGGUCGUGGUGCCAAAAGCCCCCAGCGGAAAAAUGGCCAAAAAACGGGUAGGCUAUAGCCUUGGUGGCGGGCGCGGGCGAAGUUCGUCCGCCGGACUCGAAAUGGGACGAGACUUUGCGAGGGGCCUCGGGGUGCCAAAAAUAAGCCGUGGGGAAAGCCGCGCCCAAAAAUAGGCGCCCGAAGGUCGUGGUGCCAAAACCCCCCAGCGGAAAAAUGGCCAAAAAACGGGUCGUGGGCUAUAGCCUUGGUGGGGGGCGCGGGCGAAGUUCGUCCGCCGGACUCUGAAUGGGGCGAGACUUUACGAGGGGCCUCGCGGUGCCAAAAAUAAGCCGCGGGCAAAGCCGCGCCCAAAAAUAAGCGCCCGAAGGUCGUGGUGCGAAAACCCCCCAGCGGAAAAAUGGCCAAAAAACGGGUCGUGGGCUAUAGCCUUGGUGGGGGGCGCGGGCGAAGUUCGUCCGCCGGACUCGGAAUGGGGCGAGACUUUGCGAGGGGCCUCGGGGUGCCAAAAAUAAGCCGCGGGCAAAGCCGCGCCCGAAGGUCGUGGUGCCAAAACCCCCCAGCGGAAAAAUGGCCAAAAAACGGGUCGUGGGCUAUAGCCUUGGUGGGGGGUGCGGGCGAAGUUCGUCCGCCGGACUCGGAAUGGGGCGAGACUUUGCGAGGGGCCUCGGGGUGCCAAAAAUAAGCCACGGGCAAAGCCGCGCCCAAAAAUAAGCGCCCAAAGGUCGUGGUGCCAAAACCCCCCAGCGGAAAAAUGGCCAAAAAACGGGUCGUGGGCUAUAGCCUUGGUGGGGGGCGCGGGCGAAGUUCGUCCGCCGGACUCGGAAUGGGGCGAGACUUUGCGAGGCGCCUCGGGGUGCCAAAAAUAAGCCGCGGGCAAAGCCGUGCCCAAAAAUAAGCGCCCGAAGGUCGUGCUGCCAAAACCCCCCAGCGGAAAAAUGGUCAAAAAACAGGUCGUGGGCUAUAGCCUUGGUGGGGGGCGCGGGCGAAGUUGUCCGCCGUACUCGGAAUGGGGCGAGACUUUGCGAGGGGCCUCGGGGUGCCAAAAAUAAGCCGCGGGCAAAGCCGCGCCCAAAAAUAAGCGCCN
rnacentral:lncRNA from 1 species